GGAGCCGGCCGGGCGGCCGCGGCUCCGGCCCUCGGGCCGGGGUGGAGGAAAGUCCGGACUCCGAAGGGCAGGGUGCUGGGUAACUCCCAGGCAGGGCGACCUGCGGACAGUGCCACAGAAAACAGACCGCCGCCGCGACCCUCGGGUAGCGACGGUAAGGGUGAAACGGUGAGGUAAGAGCUCACCAGCGGACCGGGUGACCGGUCCGGCUCGGCAAACCACACCCGGAGCAAGGCCAAGCAGGGAGCGUUCGAGGACGGCCCGUCCGAGCUCCCGGGUAGGCUGCACGAGGGGCGUUCGGCAUAUGGGGGCGCCCCCGGGGUCUCGCGGCGACGCGGGGCUCAGAGAGAUGGCCGCCGCCGGCCCGACAGGGCCGGGCACAGAAUCCGGCUUACAGGCCGGCUCCUCCA
rnacentral:RNase_P_RNA from 1 species